AUUGAACGCUGGCGGCAGGCCUAACACAUGCAAGUCGAACGAGUGGCGGAGGGGUGAGUAAUGUCUGGGAAACUGACCGAUGGAGGGGGAUAACUCCGGGAAACGGUAGCUAAUACCGAAUACCCACGGAUGUCCCCAGAUGGGAUUAGCUAGUAGGUGGGGUAACGGCUCACCAAGGCGACGAUCCCUAGCUGGUCUGAGAGGAUGACCAGCCACACUGGAACUGAGACACGGUCCAGACUCCUACGGGAGGCAGCAGUGGGGAAUAUUGCACAAUGGGCGCAAGCCUGAUGCAGCCAUGCCGCGUGUAUGAAGAAGGCCUUCGGGUUGUAAAGUACUUUCAGCGAGGAGGCGUUACCCGCAGAAGAAGCACCGGCUAACUCCGUGCCAGCAGCCGCGGUAAUUC
rnacentral:rRNA from 1 species